UAACACACAAUUUAUAAAAAUUGUAUAUUUCGAAUCAAAUCUGAUUCAUCUUCAGCAGUUUCUUGCAAGAUAUGUCGUUAUAUUACAACCGUAAGCAAUUAAUGUAACGACAUAUCUUGCAAAACACCAUUUGAUUCGAAAUAUACAGUUUUUAUAAAUUGUGUGUUU